AAGUCGUAACAAGGUUUCCGUAGGUGAACCUGCGGAAGGAUCAUUACCGAACUGUCGACACGAGUUGUUGCUGGUCCUCAAACGGGGGCAUGUGCACGCUCUGUUCACACAUCCACUCACACCUGUGCACCCUCUGUAGUUCUGUGGCCUCGGGACUCUGUCCCCUUGCCGUGGUCCUACGUCUUUACACACACACUGUAAUGAAGUCUUAUGGAAUGUAUGUCGCGUCUAACGCAAUACAAUACAACUUUCAGCAACGGAUCUCUUGGCUCUCGCAUCGAUGAAGAACGCAGCGAAAUGCGAUAAGUAAUGUGAAUUGCAGAAUUCAGUGAAUCAUCGAAUCUUUGAACGCACCUUGCGCCCUUUGGCUAUUCUGAAGGGCAUGCCUGUUUGAGUAUCAUGAACAUCUCAACUCUCACGGUUCGCCGUGAUGAGCUUGGACUUUGGGGGUCCUGCUGGCCUGCGGGUUGGCUCCUCUCAAAUUGAUCAGCUUGCCAGUGUUUGGUGGCAUCACGUGUGUGAUAACUAUCUACGCUCGUGGUUCUCCGCCAGGUAACCUUCGGUGACGGAGGUUCGCUGGGGCUCACAAACGUCUCUCCUCAGUGAGGACAGCUUUUUAACGUUUGAUCUCAAAUCAGGUAGGACUACCCGCUGAACUUAA
rnacentral:rRNA from 1 species